CCUACGGGAGGCAGCAGUGAGGAAUAUUGGUCAAUGGCCGAGAGGCUGAACCAGCCAAGUCGCGUGAGGGAAGACGGCCCUACGGGUUGUAAACCUCUUUUGUCGGGGAGCAAAGCGAGUCACGUGUGACUCAUUGAGAGUCCCCGAAGAAAAAGCAUCGGAUAACUCCGUGCCAGCAGCAGCGGUAAUACGGAGGAUGCGCGCGUUAUCCGGAUUUAGUGGGUUUAAGGGGUGCGCAGGCGGAGGUGCAAGUCAGCGGUCAAAUUGCGGGGCUCAACCCCGUACUGCCGUUGAAACUGCAUCCCUUGAGUGCGCGAGAAGUAUGCGGAAUGCGUGGUGUAGCGGUGAAAGGCAUAGAGAUCACGCAGAACUCCGAGUGCGAAGGCAGCAUACCGGCGCGCAACUGACGCUCAUGCACGAAAGCGUGGGUAUCGAACAGGAUUAGAUACCCGGGUAGUC
rnacentral:rRNA from 1 species